AUUUUCUCAGUCCAGAUUGCUUUCAAUCCCUCACAAGAUCCACCUCCGUUUUGGCAAGUGUUGACUCCUCCAAUUGGAUGCAGGGAAACGGGGACACUAGGAUACGGUCUGGAUCGAAUCUUCCUUGGAUACCAUCUCUCAUUGCAGACUGUGUACCCUGGGAUCAUCAUUUCCACCUUGGUAUAAUAUUCAAUCUUGCACUUUUAUAUACUAUUUUUAACUUCCUGUAAUUUCAUAUAUAUACCGACAUGCAUAUUUUCUUUGGAUAUAGAUGGAGGAAGCCACGGCACCAUCUUUGUCUGAAUCAUGUAGAAUGCCUUUAUCACAGUUGGCCAAAAAACAUCUAUUUGAACCUGAUACUAGUGAGAUAGCCAAUCCAGUGAUUACGAAGUUAGGCGUACCACACGGCCAUCCUGAGCUUGAACCACGUGGAUGGACGGCAGGGCCAUCUUUCUCAGCUCGUUGUUAUCAACCUCCCUCACCGGGGCCUAGACUUGAUGAA